UACGCUGGCGGCGUGCUUACACAUGCAGUCGAACGAUGAAGCCCAGCUUGCUGGGUGGAUUAGUGGCGAACGGGUGAGUAACACGUGAGUAACCUGCCCCUGACUCUGGGAUAAGCCCGGGAAACUGGGUCUAAUACCGGAUAUGACUUUUGACCGCAUGGUUGAGGGUGGAAAGAUUUAUCGGUUGGGGAUGGACUCGCGGCCUAUCAGCUUGUUGGUGAGGUAAUGGCUCACCAAGGCGACGACGGGUAGCCGGCCUGAGAGGGUGACCGGCCACACUGGGACUGAGACACGGCCCAGACUCCUACGGGAGGCAGCAGUGGGGAAUAUUGCACAAUGGGCGCAAGCCUGAUGCAGCGACGCCGCGUGAGGGAUGACGGCCUUCGGGUUGUAAACCUCUUUCAGUAGGGAAGAAGCGAAAGUGACGGUACCUGCAGAAGAAGCGCCGGCUAACUACGUGCCAGCAGCCGCGGUAAUACGUAGGGCGCAAGCGUUAUCCGGAUUUAUUGGGCGUAAAGAGCUCGUAGGCGGUUUGUCGCGUCUAUCGUGAAAGUCCGAGGCUCAACCUCGGAUCUGCCGGUGGGUACGGGCAGACCUAAGUGAUGUAGGGGGAGACUGG
rnacentral:rRNA from 1 species